rnacentral:misc_RNA from 1 species
AAGUCGUAACAAGGUUUCCGUAGGUGAACCUGCGGAAGGAUCAUUAACACUAUACUGUAUAUACUUCGGUAUAUAUAUGUAUUAAACACCAAACCUGUGCUCCCUUUUUUCUUUUUUUUUCACACCUUCAACCCAACUUUUAAGUGACUCUAAACUUUAAAUUCGUAGCUCUUUCUGGCCUUAAACCAGCUAGACUGAGAUGCGUCCAACUAUCUUAACCAAUAGUUGUGUCAUUGUACAACUGUUAACAAUGGAUAUCUUGGGCUCUC